rnacentral:rRNA from 1 species
UUUAACGCUGGCGGCAGGCCUAACACCUGCAAGUCGAGCGGAUGAAGGGAGCUUGCUCCUGGAUUCAGCGGCGGACGGGUGAGUAAUGCCUAGGAAUCUGCCUGGUAGUGGGGGAUAACGUCCGGAAACGGGCGCUAAUACCGCAUACGUCCUGAGGGAGAAAGUGGGGGAUCUUCGGACCUCACGCUAUCAGAUGAGCCUAGGUCGGAUUAGCUAGUUGGUGGGGUAAAGGCCUACCAAGGCGACGAUCCGUAACUGGUCUGAGAGGAUGAUCAGUCACACUGGAACUGAGACACGGUCCAGACUCCUACGGGAGGCAGCAGUGGGGAAUAUUGGACAAUGGGCGAAAGCCUGAUCCAGCCAUGCCGCGUGUGUGAAGAAGGUCUUCGGAUUGUAAAGCACUUUAAGUUGGGAGGAAGGGCAGUAAGUUAAUACCUUGCUGUUUUGACGUUACCAACAGAAUAAGCACCGGCUAACUUCGUG